GUUGAUAUAGUUUAAUGAAAACAUUAGAUUGUGACUCUAAGAGAUAGGAGUUAAAACCCCCUUAUCCACC
rnacentral:tRNA from 1 species